AGCCAGGUCACUCUCGUGGGACAAAGGCUGUCACAGCCACGUGCUAGGAGGGCCUCAUCUUCCUCACCCAGGACACGUGGACUAGAGCAGGAAUGCUUAGGGUCACAUAAUGACUGUCGAGGUAAAAGUGCGAUGCAAACCUGGGCCUGGUGACACCUACCUGAUCAAACAAAACCUGAGAACUAGGACUUUCUCGAUUAAACAAGGAAUCAACAAGAGGGGCUGCCUGGAUGUCUUCAAGACUUACUUGGUAAUCAGUGAUUCGGAAGAGAGGAGGGAAGAAGUCAUGAUGCCUUUCCUGACUUAGCCACAGAAGUCACACUCCACCACUUUCACAGUAUCCUACUGUUACACUGGUCAGCUCUAUUCCAUAUGGGAGGGGACCACAUAAAAACACCAGGAGGUAGGGAUCAUUGGUGGUCAUCUUGGAGGCUAGCUACAACAGUGGAUAAAAAACCAUCUAAGCAUUAGGAGAAAAAAGGUAAAUUCCUCUAUAGUCUUUGACCCAAAAUCUAGAAGCAUAAGGGAAAAGAUUGAUCAAUUUGACACACCAUGCAUAUUUAUAACUUUAUUAUGACAACAGAUACCAUAAGUAAGUCCAAGAUGUAAUAAACUGAGAAAAUUAUUGUGUUUCACAAAGGAUUGAGAGAAAAAACAGAGAAGAAAAAAAACCUCAAGGGACUUCCCUACUGCUCCAGUGGUUGAGACCACCGAGUGGUCCGCCUUCUAAGGCAAUGGACUCAUGUUCAGUCCCUAGUCCAGGAAACUAACACCCUACGUACCACAGAGUAACUAAGCCCUUGUGCUAUACCUAGAGAGUAGCCUGUGUGCCGAAACUAAGACCCAAAGCCGCCAAAUAAGUAAAUAUUAAGAAAGAAAAAACCUCCAAUUGUGUAAUGGGCAAGAGAUAUGGAAAGACAGUUCACUGUGAUCUACAUAUUUAAGGUCACACAUGCUGCAAGUGUUGGAAUGUCUCCAGGCCUAUCGGCAUGUCCUCCGGGUGCCCUGCCAGGCACUGUUCUGCCGGGAGCACAGUGUUCUACCCCAGGCCUGACAGUUUUUCCAUGGAAAAAGAAAGGAAGAGCCUAUGUGUGGCUAGAUGACUUCACAUAGAGAGAUGACUUCAGCUUGGAGAAUCAAUAGUGGGCAGGAGAGUGUGUUCAGCCUGCCCGGAAAUAAAGACGUCAUUGCGGUUAAAUGAGAUUCACCUAUGAGUGACUGGCAAAUCCAGUGCACCAAGAAUCACCACAUAAAAAUGACUUCUCAGAAUGUUUUUUGAGAAGAGUUUUAAAAAGGUUCAUGUUUUCUCAAAAAUGCAUCGAUUCUAUUUAGGUGACAGUCUGGAAAAGGCAACACUGGAGGGACAGAAAUCAGAUCAGUGGUUGCCAGAUUUGAGGGUGAGAGGAAAGGAUUGCCUACAGAGGACAGGAGGGAACUUUAGGGUGGUCAUGAAAACAUUCCAUAUCUUGGUUGCAGUGGUGAUUACAUGGUUGUAUAUAUUUGUCAGAACUCAAAACUUCACACCUCAGAAGGGUGAGUGUUACUCUAUUAAAAUUAUACCUUAAUAAAUUUCACUUUAAAAAUGUA